AGGUCCUGACUUAGAAAAUGAGGUCAAGGUCAAAGGUCAAGGUCAAGUUCUCAAUUGUGACUUUUGCUUGUUUUUGCAUUUUCUCCGACACUUUGAAAGAUACAUAUAAAAGAACAAGUGCAAAAUGUCUGCUUAAUUGUAAUGAAGAUAUGCUACAUUUAUUCUUAUACAAUUUAAUGGCAUCUUAUAGGAGUUGGUGCCCCUGAAAUGUCUUGAUAUGAGG
rnacentral:lncRNA from 1 species